rnacentral:tRNA from 2 species
UAGAAAGUGGUGUAGGGGAAGCACAGAGAGUUUUGAUCUCUCUAGGAGGGGUUCGAUCCCCCUUUUUCUAU